AUUGAACGCUAGCGGGAUGCUUUACACAUGCAAGUCGAACGGCAGCGCGGACUUCGGUCUGGCUGCGAGUGGCGAACGGGUGAGUAAUGUAUCGGAACGUGCCCAGUAGCGGGGGAUAACUACGCGAAAGCGUAGCUAAUACCGCAUACGCCCUACGGGGGAAAGCAGGGGAUCGUAAGACCUUUCACUAUUGGAGCGGCCGAUAUCGGAUUAGCUAGUUGGUGAGGUAACGGCUCACCAAGGCGACGAUCCGUAGCUGGGGUGAGAGGACGACCAGCCACACUGGGACUGAGACACGGCCCAGACUCCUACGGGAGGCAGCAGUGGGGAAUUUUGGACAAUGGGGGCAACCCUGAUCCAGCCAUCCCGCGUGUGCGAUGAAGGCCUUCGGGUUGUAAAGCACUUUUGGCAGGAAAGAAACGUCGCGGGCUAAUACCCCGUGGAACUGACGGUACCUGCAGAAUAAGCACCGGCUAACUACGUG
rnacentral:rRNA from 1 species